rnacentral:rRNA from 1 species
CUAGACUCCUACGGGAGGCAGCAGUGGGGAAUAUUGCACAAUGGGGGAAACCCUGAUGCAGCGACGCCGCGUGAGUGAAGAGGUAAUUCGUUAUGUAAAGCUCUAUCGGCAGGGAAGAAAAUGACGGUACCUGAGUAAGAAGCCCCGGCUAACUACGUGCCAGCAGCCGCGGUAAUACGUAGGGGGCAAGCGUUAUCCGGAUUUACUGGGUGUAAAGGGAGCGUAGACGGCAGUGCAAGUCUGGAGUGAAAGGCGGGGGCCCAACCCCGGGACUGCUCUUGGAACUGCGUGGCUAGAGUGCAGGAGGGGCAGGCGGAAUUCCUGGUGUAGCGGUGAAAUGCGUAGAUAUUAGGAGGAACACCAGUGGCGAAGGCGGCCUGCUGGACUGCAACUGACGUUGAGGCUCGAAGGCGUGGGGAGCAAACAGGAUUAGAUACCCCCGUAC